UACAGAGGUCUCAAGCGUUGUUCGGAUUCAUUGGGCGUAAAGGGUGCGUAGGCGGCGAGGCAAGUCUGGUGUGAAAUCCCGGGGCUCAACUCCGGAACUGCACUGGAUACUGCUUUGCUAGAGUACUGGAGAGGGAACUGGAAUUUACGGUGUAGCAGUGAAAUGCGUAGAUAUCGUAAGGAAGACCAGCGGCGAAGGCGAGUUCCUGGACAGUAACUGACGCUGAGGCACGAAGGCCAGGGGAGCAA
rnacentral:rRNA from 1 species